rnacentral:rRNA from 1 species
UACGGGGGAGCAAGCGUUGUUCGGAUUUACUGGGCGUAAAGGGCGCGUAGGCGGUCAGCACAAGUCAGUUGUGAAAUCUCCGGGCUUAACUCGGAAAGGUCAACUGAUACUGUGCGACUAGAGUGCAGAAGGGGCAACUGGAAUUCUCGGUGUAGCGGUGAAAUGCGUAGAUAUCGAGAGGAACACCUGCGGCGAAGGCGGUGCUGGGCUGACACUGACGC